rnacentral:rRNA from 1 species
ACUCAAAUGAAUAGACGGGGACCCGCACAAGCAGCGGAGCGUGUGGUUUAAUUCGAUGCGACGCGAAGAACCUUACCAGGGCUUGACAUGCUCUCGCACCGUCUAGAGAUAGGCGUGCCCGCAAGGGACGGGAGCACAGGUGCUGCAUGGCUGUCGUCAGCUCGUGCCGUGAGGUGUUGGGUUAAGUCCCCCAACGAGCGCAACCCCUAUCGUCGGUUGUAUUUUUCCGGCGAAACUGCCCGCGAGGGAGGAAGGAGGGGCUGAAGUCAAGUCAGCACGGCCCUUACGUCCUGGGCUACACACACGCUACAAUGGCUGGUACAAUGGGCCGCCAACCCGCAAGGGGGAGCCAAUCCCAGCAAAGCCAGCCUCAGUUCAGAUUGGCGGCUGCAACCCGCCGCCAUGAAGGUGGAGUUGCUAGUAACCGCAGGUCAGCACACUGCGGUGAAUACGUUCCCGGGUCUUGCACACACCGCCCGU